rnacentral:rRNA from 1 species
AACGAACGCUGGCGGCAGGCUUAACACAUGCAAGUCGAGCGCCCCGCAAGGGGAGCGGCAGACGGGUGAGUAACGCGUGGGAAUCUACCCAUCCCUACGGAACAGCUCCGGGAAACUGGAAUUAAUACCGUAUACGCCCUACGGGGGAAAGAUUUAUCGGGGAUGGAUGAGCCCGCGUUGGAUUAGCUAGUUGGUGGGGUAAAGGCCUACCAAGGCGACGAUCCAUAGCUGGUCUGAGAGGAUGAUCAGCCACAUUGGGACUGAGACACGGCCCAAACUCCUACGGGAGGCAGCAGUGGGGAAUAUUGGACAAUGGGGGCAACCCUGAUCCAGCCAUGCCGCGUGAUCGAUGAAGGCCUUAGGGUUGUAAAGAUCUUUCAGUGGGGAAGAUAAUGACUGUACCCACAGAAGAAGCCCCGGCUAACUCCGUGCCAGCCGCCGCAGUAACAC